GACGAACCGUGCGAACGUUGUUCGGAUUCACUGGGCUUAAAGGGCGCGUAGGCGGUCGACCAAGUCUGGGGUGAAAUCCCUCGGCUUAACCGAGGAACUGCCUGUCAGACUGGAAGGCUUGAGACCGGGAGAGGUGAGUGGAAUUCCCAGUGUAGCGGUGAAAUGCGUAGAUAUUGGGAGGAACACCAGUGGCGAAGGCGGCUCACUGGACCGGAACUGACGCUGAGGCGCGAAAGCGUGGGGAGCAAACAGG
rnacentral:rRNA from 1 species